rnacentral:rRNA from 1 species
GAUGAACGCUGGCGGCGUGCCUAAUACAUGCAAGUCGAGCGAACGGACGAGAAGCUUGCUUCUUUGAUGUUAGCGGCGGACGGGUGAGUAACACGUGGAUAACCUACCUAUAAGACUGGGAUAACUUCGGGAAACCGGAGCUGAUACCGGAUAAUAUUUUGAACCGCAUGGUUCAAAAGUGAAAGACGGUCUUGCUGUCACUUCUAGAUGGAUCCGCGCUGCAUUAGCUAGUUGGUAAGGUAACGGCUUACCAAGGCAACGAUGCAUAGCCGACCUGAGAGGGUGAUAGGCCACACGGGAACUGAGACACGGUCCAGACGCCUACGGGAGGCAGCAGUAGGGAAUCGUACGCAAUGGGCGAAAGCCUGACGGAGCAACGCCGCGUGAGUGAUGAAGGUCUUCGGAGCGUAAAACUCUGUUAUUAGGGAAGAACAUAUGUGUAAGUAACUGUGCACAUCUUGACGGUACCUAAUCAGAAAGCCACGGCUAACUACGUG